rnacentral:rRNA from 1 species
GUUGUAUAGUCAAGUAAUUAAGUGCAUGUGGUGGAUGCUUGGCAGUCAGAGGCGAUGAAAGACGUGAUAGCCUGCGAAAAGCUCCGGGGAGGCGGCAAAUAUCCUUUGAUCCGGAGAUGUCUGAAUGGGGGAACCCACCUACUUUAAGGUAGGUAUUGCAACAUGAAUACAUAGUGUUGCAAGGCGAACGAGGGGAAGUGAAACAUCUCAGUACCCUUAGGAAAAGAAAUCAAUUGAGAUUCCCUCAGUAGCGGCGAGCGAACGGGGAUCAGCCCAUUAAGUUAUGUGUGUUUUAGUGGAACGCUCUGGGAAGUGCGAACGUAGAGGGUGAUAUUCCCGUACACGAAAGGGCACACAUAAUGAUGACGAGUAGGGCGAGGCACGUGAAACCUUGUCUGAAUAUGGGGGGGACCAUCCUCCAAGGCUAAAUACUCCUGACUGACCGAUAGUGAACCAGUACCGUGAGGGAAAGGCGAAAAGAACCCCUGUGAGGGGAGUGAAAUAGAUCCUGAAACCGCAUGCAUACAAGCAGUGGGAGCACCUUCGUGGUGUGACUGCGUACCUUUUGUAUAAUGGGUCAGCGACUUAUAUUCAGUAGCAAGGUUAACCGUAUAGGGGAGCCGUAGAGAAAUCGAGUCUUAAUAGGGCGUUUAGUUGCUGGGUAUAGACCCGAAACCAGGCGAUCUAUCCAUGAGCAGGUUGAAGGUUGGGUAACACUAACUGGAGGACCGAACCCACUGUCGUUGAAAAGCCAGGGGAUGACUUGUGGAUAGGGGUGAAAGGCUAAUCAAGCCUGGUGAUAGCUGGUUCUCCCCGAAAGCUAUUUAGGUAGCGCCUCGGACGAAUACCAUAGGGGGUAGAGCACUGUUUCGGCUAGGGGGUCAUCCCGACUUACCAAACCGAUGCAAACUCCGAAUACCUAUGAGUACUAUCCGGGAGACAGACUGCGGGUGCUAACGUCCGUAGUCAAGAGGAAAACAAUCCAGACCGCCAGCUAAGGCCCCAAAAUCAUAGUUAAGUGGGAAACGAUGUGGGAAGGCAUAGACAGCUAGGAGGUUGGCUUAGAAGCAGCCACCCUUUAAAGAAAGCGUAAUAGCUCACUAGUCGAGUCGGCCUGCGCGGAAGAUGUAACGGGGCUAAAACUAUGUGCCGAAGCUGCGGAUGUAUACUUUGUAUACGUGGUAGGGGAGCGUUCUGUAAGCCGAUGAAGGUGUGUUGAGAAGCAUGCUGGAGGUAUCAGAAGUGCGAAUGCUGACGUGAGUAACGACAAAACGGGUGAAAAACCCGUUCGCCGAAAGACCAAGGGUUCCAGUCCAACGUUAAUCGGGGCUGGGUGAGUCGACCCCUAAGGCGAGGCCGAAAGGCGUAGUCGAUGGGAAAAUGGUUAAUAUUCCAUUACUUCUGUGUAAUGCGAUGAGAGGACGGAGAAGGCUAAAUCAGCCUGGCGUUGGUUGUCCAGGUGAAAGGAUGUAGGCAUGUAUCUUAGGCAAAUCCGGGGUACUCUAUGCUGAGAUCUGAUAGCAAGCUGUACUUGUACAGCGAAGUGGUUGAUGCCAUGCUUCCAGGAAAAGUCUCUAAGCUUCAGUUACACAGGAAUCGUACCCGAAACCGACACAGGUGGUCAGGUCGAGUAGACCAAGGCGCUUGAGAGAACUCUGCUGAAGGAACUAGGCAAAAUGGUACCGUAACUUCGGGAGAAGGUACGCUGUUGUUGGUGAUGGAACUCGCUUCCUGAGCUGACGACAGCCGCAGAAACCAGGCCGCUGCAACUGUUUAUUAAAAACAUAGCACUCUGCAAACACGAAAGUGGACGUAUAGGGUGUGAUGCCUGCCCGGUGCUGGAAGGUUAAUUGAUGGGGUUAGCGUAAGCGAAGCUCUUGAUCGAAGCCCCAGUAAACGGCGGCCGUAACUAUAACGGUCCUAAGGUAGCGAAAUUCCUUGUCGGGUAAGUUCCGACCUGCACGAAUGGCAUAAUGAUGGCGGCGCUGUCUCCAGCAGAGGCUCAGUGAAAUCGAAAUCGCUGUGAAGAUGCAGUGUACCCGCGGCUAGACGGAAAGACCCCGUGAACCUUUACUGCAGCUUGACACUGAACUUUGACCUUACUUGUGUAGGAUAGGUGGGAGGCUUUGAAGCUGGAACGCUAGUUCCAGUGGAGCCGUCCUUGAAAUACCACCCUGGUAAUGUUGAGGUUCUAACUCUGUCCCGUGAUCCGGGACGAGGACCGUGUCUGGUGGGUAGUUUGACUGGGGCGGUCUCCUCCUAAAGAGUAACGGAGGAGUACGAAGGUGCGCUCAGCGUGGUCGGAAAUCACGCGUAGAGUAUAAAGGCAAAAGCGCGCUUAACUGCGAGACCCACAAGUCGAGCAGGUACGAAAGUAGGUCUUAGUGAUCCGGUGGUUCUGUAUGGAAGGGCCAUCGCUCAACGGAUAAAAGGUACUCUGGGGAUAACAGGCUGAUACCGCCCAAGAGUUCAUAUCGACGGCGGUGUUUGGCACCUCGAUGUCGGCUCAUCUCAUCCUGGGGCUGAAGCAGGUCCCAAGGGUAUGGCUGUUCGCCAUUUAAAGAGGUACGCGAGCUGGGUUUAGAACGUCGUGAGACAGUUCGGUCCCUAUCUACCGUGGGCGCUGGAAAUUUGAGAGGAUCUGCUCCUAGUACGAGAGGACCAGAGUGGACGAACCUCUGGUGUACCGGUUGUGACGCCAGUCGCAUCGCCGGGUAGCUAUGUUCGGAAGGGAUAACCGCUGAAAGCAUCUAAGCGGGAAGCCUACCUCAAGAUAAGAUUUCCCUAGGACUUUAUGUCCUCUAAAGAGCCGUUCGAGACUAGGACGUUGAUAGGUUGGAUGUGGAAGCAUAGUGAUAUGUGAAGCUGACCAAUACUAAUUGCUCGUGAGGCUUGACUAUACAACACCCAAGCAGUUG